UCCUUCCAUGUGAUUUUGGUCUUCGUGUUCAACAGACAUGCAUUCUUGCUAUCCAUUCCGGCUCCUAUUUUAACUACGACGAUUUUAAUCUUCUUUUUUAACCAAUGCCGACUUCAAAUGACUAUUGUGUCUUCUUGAUUGCGUGUACACGUUUCAGUAGGCUUAAAUAUGUUGCUAACUUUGUUUCUUACUAUGGUUGAUAAUGUUAGCUGGACGAUUUGAUUCUGGGAUUUCAGGACUAAGAGGGUUGAAGAAUGGCAGUUGAUUACUUGCAACCUUCCAUAAGGCCAUGAUGGUAUCUUUUUUUAUAUUAUGAGCCUGUAAGAAGUAGAUCUUACACAAAUGUGUGAGGUACAAUCCACAGAAUCACAAGUAUUUUGCAAAUUAGCUAGUAUUUCCAUGAGAAAAUAAUAGGCUAUGUUGAGAAUAAUAAUCAGGUCGUACGGGAUUUGUCAUACGUUGGUUUUCCUUAAAGGUUAUGAUGAGUCAAUGUAUCUAACUGAAAA